rnacentral:lncRNA from 1 species
UCAGUUACACUUAGCGUUUCUUGAUCCAUUACUAUACUUUCCAAAUUAACCACCUCUUUGAGGUAGCUUUCAAUGUGAGCCUCUAUUGCAGCUAUUGGCUUUGAUAUUGGCUCGGUCAUGGAUGUUGACUUAUUCUUUACGACUUAAGGGUAUCCUAAUUCUGUUCCUUUCUAACACCUACACACAAAAUUAUCUUGACUAGCAAAUAAUAAAUACACACAACACAUAAUAGUUUUAUAAGUUAUCUUUUAUUUUGUU